AAAGUUUUGAGUCAGUACUGUGAUCUUGACCAGGACACCUACCGAUUGAACAGAGGGCUAGGAGCAGUUUUGUCCCAGCAGGAUGCUAUUACAGGUGCAACCUCAAGAUCUGGUGAAGGAGCACUUGUGGGGGCCAUGAAUGCUGACUGGGAUCCAGGGCACUGGAAAGGUUUACAGGAGCAGGACCCCAUCUUGUGUAAGGUGAAACAGUAUGGGACCGAGGAAGGAAGCCAUCUGAAGAAAAGAGGCGUUGGGAGUCUAAAUGUGUGCGUAUAAAUGGGUUGUGGGUAUAAACACAGAAUACAACACCGCUGAAGUAAUGCUGAGUAAGGGCUGGGGGUGGAGAUCUGGCAGAGAGGUUUUCUGUUACUGAAAGCAAAUUUUGCAGAACUGGAACACAUAAAACAAUGCAACCAAGGGGACUGGUGGUGUGUUGUUUUGUUUUUUUUAUUUGUUUUGUUUUUUGAGGUACUAAGCACAUUUGGGCUACUUUUGUUUAGUUUAGGGGACGCAUUAUUUUAUGUGGCCUUCCCUUUCACAAAGAAACUUUGUGAAAGAGUUUUAGCAGGGGGCUUUGAGGGUGCAUUAGCUGGCUCUGAGGAGUCCUAUAUGGUCUUUAAGCUGGGGUCUCAAAAUCAAAUGAGCUGGGGGCCAUUGCUGGCACUGUCAUCUCAAUGGAGGGCCACUUUAGUGUUCAAGUAGUACAAAAAAACCAAACAAGAAAACUACAUUUAUAGCAAAAUGUAGUUUUCUUUUUUAUUUCAAAUAUUGCAUAAGACAAAACUUCAAAAUCUUUUUUUCCUCACUCUUAACUAACUGAAGCCUUUCAGUGAACUAACAAAUAAACAAAUUAGUACUUUCCUCAUGGCUAGACACGUCACAGCACUUCUGCUAUAAUUUUGUUUUGUAGUUAACAAAAUAAAAAUGCUGACAUAAGUGUACUUGUUAGUUUUUGACUGCUAGUGCAAAUAGUUUUCUUUACAUACAACUCUCUCCCACUUAACUAACACAGCCAAUCUCUCAACAUAUUUGUGCUUUCUGCUCAUAUUGCCUUCAUAUUUAAAUAAAAAAAAUUCUCAACAGAAGGAUACAUUUGUAUAAAGGUUUUUAACAGUUAGUGCAAGUAUUUUUUUUCCAAAAAUAAUAACUUAUUUUUGCAUUGCACUCAACAACAAACAAAUGCUCUCUAGCAAA
ensembl:lncRNA